UAAUGGACUGCAGCUUCUAGUAGAGCAGG
rnacentral:piRNA from 1 species